AUGGACGCAUGGAUGAGGCUGAUAAUUCAGGCAGCAACACUGAUUAGGGUGAUUCAGGCAUGGGUCAUGUUCAUGCACCAGAGAGCUAUUCGUCGUGCUGGGAGACCUUUGAUCCGCUAUGGUCCAUUGUUUAUAUGGGAACAGGAGAUGAUCCAAAAUCUGAACUACAUCUACAACUGUAAUGACGUCGAGGCUCUGUGGAUGCUUCGAAUGAAAAGAGCACCAUUUGCCAGGCUUGUCGAGACCUUCAGGAGCAGGGGGCUGCUACAAGAUAACAUCAACACCAGUGUCGAAGAGCAAGUGGCCAUGUUCCUCCAUGUUGUUAGCCAUAACCAGAGAUUCAGGGUCAUCCACAACACAUUCAGGAGAUCAAUGGAGACCAUCUCUAGGUACUUCAAGCAGGUGCUUUUUUCUAUUGGGCUUAGAGGAGAGAUGAUAAGGAGACCAUCUGGCCAGACUCCACCCAAGAUUCGCGGAAGCCCAAGAUGGUAUCCAUACUUCAAGGUGAGCAGUGACAAUAUAAACUUUUCAUGGCUUGAUAUGCUUAUAUUGUUCAAGUUGAGCACUAACACAGGCUUGUGA
rnacentral:rRNA from 1 species